CAUACCCUGUGUUAUCGCCGUUUUGUUUAUAAUUGAAAAUUCUGGUUGGUUUCCGUUGAACUAUGAAAUGAACGAUGCACUAUCCAUCACCAGUGUUGUAGAUUCUACCCAAAUUUACCAUUUUUGCCAUUAAUUCUCUGCUUCAAAGCUUAAACACUCUUCGCGAUGGCAUUUGCAAAAAACCCAUUUAUUUUCACUCUCUACCAAGUUCAAAGAUUGAUUCUUUUAAUCGAAACGGGUCUAAAUUUAGGGGCUUUGGAGAGAAUGGAGCUUAUUCCAAGUGUUGAGGAGGAAUGAUGGGAUUUUGGUAAAAGAUGAGGGGUGGAAGAGGAAGAGGAGGGUGAUAUUGAUGAGGUUUAAUCAGGGCUUUGGGUUACUGCUGGUGAUGGUGGUGGGAGAGAUAACAGUAGCACUAUUAGACUUCUGGGUAAUGUUGCGUUGGCAAGUGGCUUGACUAACCUUUCAAUGACUGGGCAGCUUGGUUGGAUUUCUGAUGCUAUUGGCUUGGUUUUGGACGUUGUUAUUUCUGUUUCGGUAUUCCUGUCUGUCUCUGCUUGUUUCUUCAGCUUUAGAAAGCCUUUCGAGCCAUUCUUUGUUUGGUUAUUAUCUGUUGUAUGUGAAUGAUUAUAUCAAGGCUUAAGCAUUCACAAUUAGAGCUUUCAGUUGUUCCUAUUAUUUGUCGAUUAUUAAGUGAAAUGCUAUGCAAUAUAGAAAUGAUUUGUUUACCAAAUUUUUUUGUUACCGAGUUCCAUUUUUAGAGUGAUAACUAUUGAAAAUAUAGUUGGUUUCUGAUCCACCAAUUGCUAUAUUCUCAUAACUUUAUAAGAUGUAUUAGGUGAUACGCCAAGUUCAUUGCACUAUGCGGAGCAUAUGGAGAAGUUGCUUUGAUAUGGUCUGUGUUUAUCUUACUUAAGAAUUAAUCAGCUUCUUAAUUCUUCGUCGGUUUUCUCAGUUUUUAGAUUUUAUCCAGGUUAAUGUGGUAUCCUAACUAGUUUAGGAUCAAGGCUUAGUUAUUGCUGCUGUAAUGUGGUAGUGUUCUUUAUGCUUUUCUAUUUGUCACAGCUUUAGACAAUAUUGCAUUAUCUUUGUCUCAUAUUGUUGUAGUCAAACUUGGAUGUAUCUUGAGUUGGCAAUGGUUUCAGUAUGCCUAGUUAAAUCUAAUUGACGGAUGCUUUCUUGCUGCUCCUGGCAGUACUAAUACCUAUUGUUGGUUUGGGAGCUUUUCUCUGGUGUGUAGGACGGGAUAUACUUCAAGGCACUCUGGGGCUUCUUUAACAUUUCAGUUGCAUUUAUUUCUUUCUUAAAUAUUAUUUUAUAAAAUCUUUCUGAUUUGUAUACAUAUAUGCAUGCAUAUGCGUAUGCGUCUAUGCCUACCUCCGUAAUGGAAUAUGAGUUUCCUCAAGAAUGUAGGGGUUUCUCAAAUAGCUCUUUUGCUUCUGCUUUCAUAAUUGAUUUUUCUCCUUACGGUUUCUUGUGUAAGUGCAGUGCUCAAAUUGUGGAAAUGAUUUGCAAAUUUUCAAGGGCGGGCCCCAAUGAUACUAACUGAACUUAUAGAAACCUUUAUGGGAUAGCUUUUCGUUGCGAGUCAUUCACCUUGGACAAUAAUGCUAACUUUUUCAGAUCAACUCUGAAUGAUGAAUUGCAGCUGUGCCCCUUUUGCAGUCAACCAUUCUCAGUGGUGGAAGAUGAGUUUGUGAGGUAUUCUGUUAAGUUCUCCAACAGUUCAGCAAUAUUUGGACAAGCAUUUAGUGACUUCUCUGGUGGUUCCAACAAAGGAAAGGACUGCUUCAGUUGUUGACAUUGAAGCAGAAAUAAAAGAUGCAGGCUAAUGGUGAUGCUCGAGGACAUUGUCAUGAUCAACUGGUACAACCCUGAGCACACGGCUAUCAUCAUGGAGAGUGGAUAAGCCAAGUUACAAUGCAGUUGUACACUGAGUUCUGGCAAUGCUGUAUCUUCUACGAUAUCUCUGUAGACUGUUGCCUGUAUAUUUUGCUAGCAUAUUUUGUUAAUUUUCUCUGAGCUCGUUUUGUUCUGAAGUUUUAGGACGAAAACUAGAGAUUAUUUUGAAGCAGCUGCUGAGGCAGAUUUUGGUUCGAUUUUAAUUUGUCCUUUGUGACUAGUAAAUUGCCGUCAUUAUGCA